ACCCUCAUCGGCCGGAAGGGAUUCCUUCCGGUCGAUGAGGUAUAACAACCUCAUCGACGGAAGGAAUCCCUUCUUCCGUCCGUCGAUGAGGGUGUUUUACCUCAUCGACCGGAAGGAAUCCCUUCCGGUUGAUAAGACU
rnacentral:miRNA from 1 species